rnacentral:rRNA from 1 species
GGUUGACCUCGGAUCAGGUAGGGAUACCCGCUGAACUUAAGCAUAUCAAUAAGCGGAGGAAAAGAAACCAACCGGGAUUGCCUCAGUAACGGCGAGUGAAGCGGCAAGAGCUCAAAUUUGAAAUCUGGCCCCUCCGGGGUCCGAGUUGUAAUUUGUAGAGGAUGCUUCGGGUGCGGCCCCCGUCUAAGUGCUCUGGAACGGGCCAUCGGAGAGGGUGAGAAUCCCGUCUGGGACGGGGUGUCCGCGUCCAUGUGAAGCUCCUUCGACGAGUCGAGUUGUUUGGGAAUGCAGCUCUAAAUGGGUGGUAAAUUUCAUCUAAAGCUAAAUACUGGCCGGAGACCGAUAGCGCACAAGUAGAGUGAUCGAAAGAUGAGAAGCACUUUGAAAAGAGAGUUAAACAGCACGUGAAAUUGUUGAAAGGGAAGCGCUUGCGACCAGACUCGCUUCCGGGGUUCAGCCGGCUUUCGGGCCGGUGUACUUCCCCGGGGGCGGGCCAGCGUCGGUUUGGGCGGCCGGUCAAAGGCCCCUGGAAUGUAACGCCUCUCGGGGCGCCUUAUAGCCAGGGGUGUCAUGCGGCCAGCCUGGACCGAGGAACGCGCUUCGGCACGGACGCUGGCAUAAUGGUCGUAAACGACC